AGCGAACCGGGGGAACUGAAACAUCUAAGUACCCCGAGGAAAAGAAAUCAACCGAGAUUCCCCCAGUAGCGGCGAGCGAACGGGGAGCAGCCCAGAGUCUGAAUCAGCUUGUGUGUUAGUGGAACGGUCUGGAAAGUCCGACGGUACAGGGUGAUAGUCCCGUACACCAAAAUGCACAGGUUGUGAACUCGAAGAGUAGGGCGGGACACGUGGUAUCCUGUCUGAAUAUGGGGGGACCAUCCUCCAAGGCUAAAUACUCCUGACUGACCGAUAGUGAACCAGUACCGUGAGGGAAAGGCGAAAAGAACCCCGGCGAGGGGAGUGAAAAAGAACCUGAAACCGUGUACGUACAAGCAGUGGGAGCCUCUUUAUGGGGUGACUGCGUACCUUUUGUAUAAUGGGUCAGCGACUUAUAUUCUGUAGCAAGGUUAACCGUAUAGGGGAGCCGAAGGGAAACCGAGUCUUAACUGGGCGUUAAGUUGCAGGGUAUAGACCCGAAACCCGGUGAUCUAGCCAUGGGCAGGUUGAAGGUUGGGUAACACUAACUGGAGGACCGAACCGACUAAUGUUGAAAAAUUAGCGGAUGACUUGUGGCUGGGGGUGAAAGGCCAAUCAAACCGGGAGAUAGCUGGUUCUCCCCGAAAGCUAUUUAGGUAGCGCCUCGUGAAUUCAUCUUCGGGGGUAGAGCACUGUUUCGGCUAGGGGGUCAUCCCGACUUACCAACCCGAUGCAAACUGCGAAUACCGAAGAAUGUUAUCACGGGAGACACACGGCGGGUGCUAACGUCCGUCGUGAAGAGGGAAACAACCCAGACCGCCAGCUAAGGUCCCAAAGUCAUGGUUAAGUGGGAAACGAUGUGGGAAGGCACAGACAGCCAGGAUGUUGGCUUAGAAGCAG
rnacentral:rRNA from 1 species